UACACACCGCCCGUCACACCAUGAAAGGUAGAAAUAACCGAAGCCGUUGCGCUAACCGCAAGGAGGCAGACGUCUAAGUUAGUGCUACUGAUUGGGGUG
rnacentral:rRNA from 1 species